UACAGAGGGUGCGAGCGUUAAUCGGAAUUACUGGGCGUAAAGCGUGCGUAGACGGUUAUUUAAGUCGGGUGUGAAAGCCCCGGGCUCAACCUGGGAAUUGCAUUCGAGACUGAAUAGCUAGGGUACGGUAGAGGGAAGCGGAAUUUCCGGUGUAGCGGUGAAAUGCGUAGAUAUCGGAAGGAACACCGGUGGCGAAGGCGGCAUCCUGGACCGGCAUUGACGCUGAGGAGCGAAAGCCAGGGGAGCAAACGGG
rnacentral:rRNA from 1 species